rnacentral:rRNA from 1 species
UACGAAGGGGGCUAGCGUUGCUCGGAAUCACUGGGCGUAAAGCGCACGUAGGCGGCUUCUUAAGUCAGGGGUGAAAUCCUGGAGCUCAACUCCAGAACUGCCUUUGAUACUGUGGAGCUUGAGUCCGGGAGAGGUGAGUGGAACUGCGAGUGUAGAGGUGAAAUUCGUAGAUAUUCGCAAGAACACCAGUGGCGAAGGCGGCUCACUGGCCCGGUACUGACGCUGAGGCACGAAAGCGUGGGGAGCAAACAGG